CAUUUACUCAUAUAUAAACAUUAACUUUUUUUUAUUCGAGCGUCACUGGUGAGUCUUUUGUAGACGAAACGCUCGUCUGGCGUAAUUAAAGAACUUAAUACUGGUACCUAUGAUGAGUUUAUGGUAUAUAUUUUACAUUUCAGGAUUCAUAAAAGCGUAUAUAAGAACAUGUUGUGAUGGUAUUACCUGGUCGUUUGAUACUAAUAAGUUAAAAACGCUGAAGAAUAUCGCAACGAACAACGAUUCUUUGUGUCAACAUAAUACAGAAAGUCUAACAACAACUUGUGUUAGAAUGUGUCGGGGAAAUUUCUGUAAUGGACCAACAUCCGCGGCAAAUAAUUUACGCACAUAUGAAACUUUGACACUAUUUUCGUUCAUAUUUUUUUGCAUGUUUUUUUGUAAACAUGACAAUUGACAAUCUCAAAGAAAGCAUUUAUUAGUGUUAUCAAUACACAGCCUUAUCAAAUGUCUUUGAAGAAAGUUUCAUAAUUUAGUGAAAACAUAUAUAUUUCUGAAAAAAAAAUAUUAUAAUAUUAAUGAAUGGUUGUUUUUAUAAUGGCCCUGUUAUAUGUCCAAGGUCUGUAAUAAUGGUCGAGGAAGUCUGUAAUGGCCCGAGGCAACGCCAAGGAUUAUUACAGACAUCCGAGGCCAUUAUUACUGACCGAGGACAUAUAACAGGGCCAUUAUGAAAACACCCUUUUCUUAAUACAUUAUUACCAACUGAAAAAAAGUGUAUGUGUAUGCUGCUAACUUGAUGUACUGUCUUACUCUUUUAAUGACAGUUUAGUUUGAACAAAAUAAUUUGUACUUCACCAUUAUAAAGCUUUAAGUAUACCAAAUAUCCAAGAUAUUAAGUUGAAAGAGAUAUGUGUUAAAAAACAGGAUGAACAGUGAUCCCUUUAUAUGGUUCUUUAAUGUUGGUUGCUGGUUACUAAAUUAAAUAAAAUACAAAAGGUAUUAUACUCUUUACAACUUAGUUUUAUUAACUUUAUUAAAAACCCUAACAGGGCUUAAUACAGACAAACUGGGCAUUAAUACAGGGCCAUUACAGAAAAAG
rnacentral:lncRNA from 1 species